rnacentral:miRNA from 1 species
GUAGAUUUUCCUUCUGUGACUA